rnacentral:rRNA from 1 species
UGGCGGCGUGCCUAACACAUGCAAGUCGAGCGGGGACGAUGCGACGGAUCGAAAGUUUCGGACGGACGUGAAGAUGUAUGUUCUAGCGGCGGACGGGUGAGUAACGCGUGAGCAACCUGUCCUUCACAGGGGGAUAACACAGCGAAAGUUGUACUAAUACCGCAUAAGACCACACCGGGGCAUCCCGGAGGGGGUCAAAGGAGCAAUCCGGUGAAGGGUGGGCUCGCGUCCGAUUAGAUAGUUGGUGGGGUAACGGCCUACCAAGUCGACGAUCGGUAGCCGACCUGAGAGGGUGAUCGGCCACAUUGGGACUGAGACACGGCCCAAACUCCUACGGGAGGCAGCAGUGGGGAAUAUUGGGCAAUGGGGGAAACCCUGACCCAGCAACGCCGCGUGAGGGAAGAAGGUUUUCGGAUCGUAAACCUCUGUCCCAGGUGAAGAGAAAGAGACGGUAGCCUGGGAGGAAGCCCCGGCUAACUACGUGCCAGCAGCUGC